AAUCAGCAGCAGCAUUCUUCGUACAAAUGAAGAGUCCAAUUUGCCAAGAUGAAGCUGAUUGGAUUACCAAAAAUAUAGUGAAUAAAUUGGACUUGCACUAGCAACAUGGCAAAAGAUGACAAUGAGAUUGUGAGAAAAGUAUGUCUUUUAAUUAUCUUGAUAAGUCGCGAGAACAUGUCUAUGCAUUAAGACAAGACAUCAUCAUAUUCAUGGCUGAAUAUAUGCAAAAGUUUGAAGAAUUUACAUCUCAAGGGAAUAGAAGAGUUUGAAUUAGAUGUUCAAAAUUUUGCGUUUGUGUUGUCUAAUGUAAGUGGUGAAAAGAUAGAGUUUGUUAUUCCAAAUGAGUUCGUGGAAGAGUCCGAUGAGAGGUUUGAGUUGAGCUAUACCAGUUGCUAUCAAUGAAUAAGAUUGAAUGGCAGCCUAGCACUUAGUUGGGCAACUUAGCACUUGUACUCUCAAUGAAAAGUUAGGAUAAAAAUUCAUAUGGACAACUAGGAAACAAGAAAGCAACUUAGGCUGCAUCCGCUUCCAUCUUCUAGUCUCUAUUCAUACUUCUCCUUUACAAAAUAGCCUAAUCCAAGACUAUUUAGCUUGUAACUUUAAUAUAACAUGUCACAACAAUGUAUCUACUGGCUGAAACUUUAAUGGUAAACAUCCGUUGUUAA